rnacentral:rRNA from 1 species
UACGAAGGGGGCUAGCGUUGUUCGGAAUUACUGGGCGUAAAGCGCACGUAGGCGGAUAUUUAAGUCAGGGGUGAAAUCCCGGGGCUCAACCCCGGAACUGCCUUUGAUACUGGGUAUCUCGAGUCCGAGAGAGGUGAGUGGAAUUCCGAGUGUAGAGGUGAAAUUCGUAGAUAUUCGGAGGAACACCGGUGGCGAAGGCGGCUACCUGGACAGAAACUGACGCUGAGGCGCGAAAGCUAGGGGAGCAAACAGG